GGAUGUUAGCGGCGGACGGGUGAGUAACACGUGGGUAACCUGCCUGUAAGACUGGGAUAACUCCGGGAAACCGGAGCUAAUACCGGAUAGUUCCUUGAACCGCAUGGUUCAAGGAUGAAAGACGGUUUCGGCUGUCACUUACAGAUGGACCCGCGGCGCAUUAGCUAGUUGGUGGGGUAAUGGCUCACCAAGGCGACGAUGCGUAGCCGACCUGAGAGGGUGAUCGGCCACACUGGGACUGAGACACGGCCCAGACUCCUACGGGAGGCAGCAGUAGGGAAUCUUCCGCAAUGGACGAAAGUCUGACGGAGCAACGCCGCGUGAGUGAUGAAGGUUUUCGGAUCGUAAAGCUCUGUUGUUAGGGAAGAACAAGUGCGAGAGUAACUGCUCGCACCUUGACGGUACCUAACCAGAAAGCCACGGCUAACUACGUGCCAGCAGCCGCGGUAAUACGUAGGUGGCAAGCGUUGUCCGGAAUUAUUGGGCGUAAAGGGCUCGCAGGCGGUUUCUUAAGUCUGAUGUGAAAGCCCCCGGCUCAACCGGGGAGGGUCAUUGGAAACUGGGAAACUUGAGUGCAGAAGAGGAGAGUGGAAUUCCACGUGUAGCGGUGAAAUGCGUAGAGAUGUGGAGGAACACCAGUGGCGAAGGCGACUCUCUGGUCUGUAACUGACGCUGAGGAGCGAAAGCGUGGGGAGCGAACAGGAUUAGAUACCCUGGUAGUCCACGCCGUAAACGAUGAGUGCUAAGUGUUAGGGGGUUUCCGCCCCUUAGUGCUGCAGCUAACGCAUUAAGUCACUCCGCCUGGGGAGUACGGUCGCAAGUACUGAAACUCAAAGGAAUUGACGGGGGCCCGCACAAGCGGUGGAGCAUGUGGUUUAAUUCGAAGCAACGCGAAGAACCUUACCAGGUCUUGACAUCCUCUGACAACCCUAGAGAUAGGGCUUUCCCUUCGGGGACAGAGUGACAGGUGGUGCAUGGUUGUCGUCAGCUCGUGUCGUGAGAUGUUGGGUUAAGUCCCGCAACGAGCGCAACCCUUGAUCUUAGUUGCCAGCAUUUAGUUGGGCACUCUAAGGUGACUGCCGGUGACAAACCGGAGGAAGGUGGGGAUGACGUCAAAUCAUCAUGCCCCUUAUGACCUGGGCUACACACGUGCUACAAUGGACAGAACAAAGGGCUGCGAGACCGCAAGGUUUANCCAAUCCCAUAAAUCUGUUCUCAGUUCGGAUCGCAGUCUGCAACUCGACUGCGUGAAGC
rnacentral:rRNA from 1 species